GGUACCGUCAAUGUAUUACCCUGUUAGAAUAAUACAAUUUCUUCCCUGUCGACAGAGCUUUACGACCCAAGGGCCUUCUUCACUCACGCGGCGUUGCUGCGUCAGGGUUUCCCCCAUUGCGCAAAAUUCCUCA
rnacentral:rRNA from 1 species